rnacentral:rRNA from 1 species
GACGAACGCUGGCGGCGUGCUUAACACAUGCAAGUCGAGCGGUAAGGCCCUUUCGGGGGUACACGAGCGGCGAACGGGUGAGUAACACGUGGGUGACCUGCCCUCAGCUCUGGGAUAAGCCUGGGAAACCGGGUCUAAUACUGGAUAUGACUCCAUGACGCAUGUUGUGGGGUGGAAAGCCUUGUGCGGCUGAGGAUGGGCCCGCGGCCUAUCAGCUUGUUGGUGGGGGAUGGCCUACCAAGGCGACGACGGGUAGCCGGCCUGAGAGGGCGACCGGCCACACUGGGACUGAGACACGGCCCAGACUCCUACGGGAGGCAGCAGUGGGGAAUCUUGCGCAAUGGGCGAAAGCCUGACGCAGCGACGCCGCGUGAGGGAUGACGGCCUG